AGCGAACGCUGGCGGCAGGCCUAACACAUGCAAGUCGAACGGAUCCUUCGGGAUUAGUGGCGGACGGGUGAGUAACACGUGGGAACGUGCCCUUUGGUUCGGAACAACUCAGGGAAACUUGAGCUAAUACCGGAUGUGCCCUUCGGGGGAAAGAUUUAUCGCCAUUGGAGCGGCCCGCGUCUGAUUAGCUAGUUGGUGAGGUAACGGCCCACCAAGGCGACGACCAGUAGCUGGUCUGAGAGGAUGAUCAGCCACACUGGGACUGAGACACGGUCCAGACUCCUACGGGAGGCAGCAGUGGGGAAUCUUGCGCAAUGGGCGAAAGCCUGACGCAGCCAUGCCGCGUGAAUGAUGAAGGUCUUAGGAUUGUAAAAUUCUUUCAGCGGGGACGAUAAUGACGGUACCCGCAGAAGAAGCGCCGGCUAACUUCGUG
rnacentral:rRNA from 1 species